GUGAAGUUGGAUGAUUACCGUUCAUUGCAUUUUUUAAGUACUGCUUGGAGCUCGAGUAUAGAAUUUUAUCAUGGAUACUUGCUUCAUCAGGAGCCCUGGAAUGAGGAGAAAUCAUUAUUCACUUUCCAUUUCCAAGGGUUCGUGUGUGCGGUUGGGAUAAUUUCAUGGACUUUUACUACCUGGGCAAACUACGGCCCCUGGGCCAGAUGCGACCCACCAGGCUUUUAAGUCCGACCCCCCAAACACUGGCUCCAGGACCCACUCACGCACCCACCGUGGGUCUCAUCCACUUGAUGCCUCGCACUUUAUGAGAGUUCGGCCCCAGCUCAUUGAAGCCCAACGAUGAAGGCAGCGCCUCGAAGCAGUCGUCCUCGAACAGCCGCCCUCUC